rnacentral:lncRNA from 1 species
UAGGAAAUUUGAUUUAUUAAAUUAUAGUUUAUACACAAUACAAUGCAUCUGUUAUCAAUGAUUUCAGCAGGCAGUUAUCAUAGUCUAUUCUUAGGCAAUUACAUAACAUUUAUUUUUAGCUUAGUAGGAAUAGUGCCCUAGAGGGGGGUUAGAGUAUUGUUGAUGAAUUGAGAGAAAGCAUCGUUGUAUUGGAUGCAAUUACAAUCAGCUAUUAUUUACUGUUUUCGAACCAUAUUCGAAAAAUCUUUUUAAUAUUCUUAUGUUAACGAAUAUUGACAUUGUUAUACGUUUCUUUGGAAUAGUGAUUGGAUAUUGUUCAUUUGAUUGAGUAACGAUUAUCUCUUCAAUAAUUAUAACUUUUCCAAGUGUGUGCUAUGGGUACGCGCCCAGGUAACAGAGAUCAUCGUAUUAUGAUCCAUAAUAUUUCGAAACUGGAAUUAAACACUUCGUGUAGAGUUGAGAACAAGAACAAUAGAUGUCCAGCCCACGCUAUGAAAGGGCUUAUUGACCUUAUUUCGAUAUCGAGACAUUCGGCCAUGACAGCAUUUACAAGUGCGCGAUCCCACAAUGCACCGCAUAAUGUAAACAAUAACAAUUAUGGGAAUAGAACCACGAUCGAGUAGACUAUUAGUGUGUAAAUGUUCGUUCAGUAUUGAAAUCUACAACUUUGAAUUAAUAAAUAACUGUUUGUCAAACAUUUUCCAGAAAUGUCAGUAUCAUUACAGUUUCCCGUACAUUAUAUGCCCGCCAGUUUUUAUUGCUAUGUCGACGGCAGUAAACAUUCCCUUACACUACUUUUGAACUCAUGCUAUAUCAGUAUACACACUACUCCCAGCUUUACAUACACAUUCCAAUUGCGUCGGCUCUUUAACGUUUCAUCCUUGAAUAAGCAGCCGAUAAGCAUGUUUCUACCGCCCAGGCUCGGGGAUUCAGUGAUCGUGAUACAAUUAGAUACAUACGAAUCUGUUAUGGUUAUUAUGCAGAACCCUGCCUCUGGUGGAAACUUUUUUGCCUCAACGUAGAAAAUAUUACAGCAGAAACCCUAUGACUAUAUUUAAUCAAAGGACAUCUAUUUACUUAAACAUUGAGAAGACUUCUGUUUUACCGAGUGGAAUUAGUAAUUACGUAGUAUGAGGUCAAUUCCGUACCAGGAGAGAAGAAGAUGUCGUCCUAAUCAGUAGUUCAGAUUAGUCCUUACAACUAUAUUAAUUCCGCAAGUCCUUCAACACUAGCCCAACAGCACUGAGGGCACUUUUAGAUCAUACAGAACACAUCAGGUUUACCAUAUUUACGGGUUUAUCAUAUACUACUGCAGUACGGUGUGAAGAGCAGCAUGGAGAUUCGAGGACACGUAUAUAUGUCUAAACUUCUUAAGGAUAUGCAACUGAAUAUAUUGUAUUGGUGGAAACUUAACUGUCUUUGCCUUUGUUAAGUAUAAGUAAUAUUUUGUAUUUUAUUGAUAGCAAAACAUACAUCUGUAAUAACAGCAGAUACAUAUAUAAUAAGUAAUACUAUGUAUUAAUGUCUCAUAUUUUAGCACAUAGUAUCACACAGUAUUUAUAUCUCUAUUCUAGAUUGUUCCACACCUGCAGAGAUCUCUUCAGGUGAACAUUUCGUACAGUAUAAGUAUGAAUAUAUAUUUAUAUGUAUUAUAUUUCAGCACAUAGUACAGAUGCACACAGUAUUUAUCAUGUUCAUAUAUCUAUUCUAGAUUGCUAUCUCUAUUCUAGAUUAUUCUACACCUUCCAGGACAUUUCUCAGUCAUAUGUAUUCAUUUUAUAUGUAUGAUAUUUCAUCACAUAGCACACAGUUUUUAUCAUAUUUAUAAAUUUAUUCCAGAGUGUUCCAAACCUGCCUGAAUCUCUCCAGGUGUAUAUUUCGUACAGUAUAUUAAGAAAUAAUAUGAAUUUAAAUGUAUAUAUUUCAGCACAUAGUACAUGAAGCACACAGUAUUUAUCAUGUUCAUAUCUCUAUUCUAUUUUGCUAUCUCUAUACUAGAUUAUUUUACACAUUCCAGGAUCUCCCAAGGUGGACAUUUCUUAGUAUAAGUAAUGCAUACAUGUAUGUAUUUAGUUUAUAUGUAUUAUAUUUCAGCACAUAGUACAUGUAGCACACAUGUACAGUAUUUAUCAUGUUUAUAUCUUUAGUUUAGAUUGCUCCACACAUGCAGGGAUCUCCCCAAGUGGCCAUUUCAUACAGUACAGUUAUAUAAUUAUAUUUCAGGUCGUUCGUGCUCUUUAUAUAUAUUGCAAUACGUCAUGUACGUCUUGUUUUAUACAUGUUAUAUAUAUUGUACUACAGGUCAUUCUUUUUCUUGGUCAUUCUUUUUCCUUAUGUAUAUUGUAUUACACCUGCUGGAUCGCCACAGGUCAUUCUUUAUAUUUAUGUAUAUUGUACUACAUUGUAUGACACCUGCUGGGUCGCCACAGGUCAUUCAUUCUCUUUCUGUAUACUGUAAUACACCUGCUGGAUCACCACAGGUCAUUCUUUCUCUUUAUGUAUAUUGUACUACACCUGCUGGAUCGCCACAGAUCGUUCUUUCUAUUAUGUAUAUUGUAUUCACCUGCUGGAUCGCCACAGGUCAUUCUUUCUCUUUAAUAUGUAAAUUGUAUUACACCUGCUGGAUCGCCGCAGGUCAUUCAUGCUCUUUAUGUAUAUUGUACUACACCUGCUGGGUCGCCACAGGUCAUUCAUGCUCUUUAUGUAUAUUGUACUACACCUGCUGGAUCGCCACAGGUCAUUCAUGCUCUUUAUGUAUAUUGUACUACACCUGCUGGAUCGCCACAGGUCAUUCAUGCUCUUUAUGUAUAUUGUACUACACCUGCUGGGUCACAGGUCGUUUAUUAUCUUAAUACUACGUAUUAAUGUAUUAUAUUUAACUCAGCUGGGAUUUCCACUUAGACCCUUCUUGAGUAUUUAAGGAUUACUAAGACUUCCCAGGUUGUUUCUUAUUUUACAGAAAAAAUACAGAUACAGAUACAGAUAUUAAAACCUUCGUUUUCGGAUGAAGACUUCAGAACUUUAUAGCACCGUUAUAUAUAGGAAAGCAAUACCUUGAUGCCUGCGUUCAUAGUAAUUAUGUGUUAGAACGACAGUGACUUUCAACUUUCGUUUAUUAAUACCUAUCGUUUUCGGAUGCAGAAUUUAGAACUAUAAAGCACCGGAAUAUAUGAGGAUAGCAUAUCUUGAGGCAGACUUCAGAACUAUAUAGCACCCGAAUAUAUAGAAAAACAAUACCUUGAUUCCUGCCUUCAUAGUAAUAAUGUGUCAGAACUACAGUCACACUACUUUAAGCAUUAAACGCAAGAAAUUUUAUCUAUUUAAGACAGAUUUUAAUCCGCCUGGGUUAGAGAGAAAGUGAUUUCUGUGGUCACUCCUUCAGAACUGGUAGAGGGUUCUUUCUAACGCACAACAGAAAUGUGUUUGUUGAAAUUAUUGUAUUGUAAAUGUAUUUUUUUUUUUUUGUUUUUUAUAUAUAUUAUUAUUUUUUUUUUACAUUUGUAUUUGUUAGCAUUAUUAUUUCUUGGGGGCUUUCACUCUUUCAUUUUAUGAAAUCAUUUCAUUUGGCUUUUUAAUUCCAGGGGAAUCAUACUCCCCCAAUUCAAUAAUACAUCAGAUAGGUUAAUUCCUGUCGAGGAACAAAUUGUAUUUUAAGUAGUAUUUUUACUACGCUGGGAUCGCCCAGGAGCAAUUAGGUUCAUUCCUGGGGAUCGCCCCAGGAAUUAGGUUCAUUCCUGUCGAGGAACAAAUAGGGCCCCAGGAACUAGGUUCAUUCCUGGGGAUCGCCUCAGGUUCAUUCCUGUCGAGGAAAAUAGGUUCAUUCCUGGGGAUCGCCUCAGGUUCAUUCCUGUCGAGGAAAUAGGUUCAUUCCUGGAUAGGUUCAUUCCUGGGGAUCGCCUCAGGUUCAUUCCUGUCGAGGAAAAUAGGUUCAUUCCUGGGGAUCGCCUCAGGUUCAUUCCUGUCGAGGAAAUAGGUUCAUUCCUGGGGAUCGCCCCAGGAACAUUUUUUACUAAUCCUUUAUUUUUAUUUUUCUCAUAUUUUGAUAAGUUUUAAAUUUAUUUUCUCAUAUUUUGAAUAGUUUGAAAUAUUUAUUUCAAAUUCUUUUAAGUGAAUGAGUAGCCCCAAGAAAGCCAAUAAUGUAUUAUAUUAUUAGUUAUUCAAUGUAGAAAGAUAUGUACUGUUAUGUUACAGUUUAUUUUAAUAUUAUGUGUAGAUUUAGUAUGUUUUGAUAUUUUAAUAAUAAAACAUAAAUCUUAAAUUGUGUUGUGUAUAAAAGGAAAUUUGAUUUAUUAAAUUAUAGUUUAUACACAAUACAAUGCAUCUGUUAUCAAUGAUUUCAGCAGGCAGUUAUCAUAGUCUAUUCUUAGGCAAUUACAUAACAUUUAUUUUUAGCUUAGUAGGAAUAGUGCCCUAGAGGGGGGUUAGAGUAUUGUUGAUGAAUUGAGAGAAAGCAUCGUUGUAUUGGAUGCAAUUACAAUCAGCUAUCCCACCCACCAUCCCCAACUACACCUGUGCAUUAACUGUGUAUUUAGCGUACAUGUUAGGUAUGAUAUGGAUGUAUUAAAAAAUAUGUAAAGUAUUUGAAGGUGUUAUUUU